rnacentral:rRNA from 1 species
UACGAAGGGGGCUAGCGUUGCUCGGAAUUAUUGGGCGUAAAGAGCUCGUAGGCGGUCUGUCACGUCGGCUGUGAAAUCCCGAGGCUCAACCUCGGGUCUGCAGUCGAUACGGGCAAACUAGAGUAUUGCAGGGGAGACUGGAAUUCCUGGUGUAGCGGUGAAAUGCGCAGAUAUCAGGAGGAACACCGGUGGCGAAGGCGGGUCUCUGGGCAAUAACUGACGCUGAGGAGCGAAAGCGUGGGGAGCGAACAGG